rnacentral:lncRNA from 1 species
AAUGGUUAGCUUACGACCAACCCCAAUUAAUUAUCGUGGUAAAUACAGGAUAUCUUAGAGUGAAGACACUCUAAAAAUCAAAGGAUGGAGAAAUGCAAUACAAGCAUCCAUGAUACCAUUUAGAGAAGAAUACUUGCGCAUCCCACAAGUUGGAGAUAGGUUGAUCUAUGUUCUUCAAUAUGGAGAUGUCGGAGUUCGCCUUUAUUUUGCUUUUUUACCUAGGAAAGAUUAGUAGUUAGUAUUUCAACCUUGUGAUAACUUGGUCAUUUGCUAUUAUGAUAACAACUAGAAUGAUGGGGAUUUCAUCCUUUUUAUGCUAUUUUACCUAGAAUGAUGAAGAGCUUUUUAACUAGUAUGUACAAUGAGGAGGAGUAAUAUACAAUGUCGUGUAAUGCUUUCUUCAUUGCUAUAUGUAUGUACUAGCUAGUAUCUAGUUGACACCGACCGAAAACAACAACAAGUAUAAAGAACCAAAGAUGAUGGACACAAAAAGAAAAGGGGGAAACACAAUAUGAAACUCCUAAACCCUUCAAAAACCUCUAAACCCCUCUUUAAAAUAUAAAAAAACAGCGUCGCGCAGCUGCUGACGUGUGGUCGCCUUUUAGUCCCGGUUGGUGUCACCAACCGGGACUAAAGAUCCACGCCCCCUGGUGCCCCAAAGCGGCCACGUGAAGCACCGUUAGGCCCGGUUCAUAACACAACUGGAACUAAAAGUUUCAACAUUUUGUCCCGGUUGAAAAACCGGGACUAAAGGCCCUUUGAAACAGGGACUAAAGGCUUGUUUUCCAUUAAUGCUAGAUAACAGAUUAGUUUCCAGAAAGAUAUAAAAUGGCCUCUGAAGUUUAUAGAAUUGGAGAGAGACGUUUUGCCUCCCAGGCUCCGAUGAGCCGGGAGUGAACACAAAAAUGUUAAAAAAAUACUAUAUAAAUUAAAAAAAUCCAAUUUUUUGUGUGAAAAAAACAAUUAAGUGUGUGAUAUUCGUAUCAAAUUUUAGAGCAUUUAAAUGUGCGGGUAGCUCCAAAACCAAAUUUGAGGACUGUGAAAAAGUUGAAUGUUUGUGCACUGUUCCCGAUUUUGUUAUUUUUGUUAAGAGCUACUCACAUGUCAAAUGAUUUGAAAUUUGGCACGCACCUCACGCACUAAAGUAUUUUCCAUGCAAAAAAAUGGUUUGGAUUUUUUGAAUGUUUCUAUCAUUUGUUUUUAUUAUACUGUUCAUCGGGUGCAGACGAACCCGGGCUCAGAAUUGGAUAUUCGAUAAAACUGAUACGACAAUAGCAUGUUUUUUUACGGAAACACUAAAAAUUUGACGUAGGAUUUUUAGGCAUGACAAAUCCGAUGUUUUUAUGGCAAUUUAUAUUAGCACGAUGAUGACAAAUUUAACUUGCAAACACAACAAUUUUCAGACAUAAAAUGAACCGAGACAAAUUUUGCAUGCUCACCAACUAAACAUGUCAUCCUGGAAGAACAUAAUUUGCACCAAAAAUCGUUUCAUUUUCCAUGAUAAAAAAAUCUGAUGUUAUGUUUGUAGUGGGGUUCUAAUAUAAAUCAACAUAGUCCACCGCAAUAGCAGACACCCAAACCCUAAUCCAGCUCGAUCCAGUGAGCCAGAAGACCCAUUCGCACUGUAGAUCGGCAAACCAACCAGCAAACACAAAGGCCGAGCGACGUAAUUAAGUAGCCCUUCAAUCAUGAAGCAGAAACCACAUGAUCGAUCGGAAAAACACGACCGAUCACACUGUGCACCUCCAUCUACCAAGGUCAACAAGUCAUCAAUGGUUUCUCUCCAUAGCCUUUCUGGCACUUGCCAUCCAUACAUCUUUAAAACAAGUACAAUAGUAUGCUAUAAGCAUAAUGAUUUUUCUUAGAUCAUCUAUACAAUAGUCUUUUAAAUCCUUUUCAAACGCUCGGACAAGCCGUUCGUUCACUGACCGGUCAUGAAAAAGCGACCCAAACGGACCCUCAAACCCAUUGCAUACGUCAGUAUUGACCGGCAUCCCUCAUAUCCAUCUCAAAUAUGAGAACGAUACGAGGGCUUGCGGAUGCGCCCGGACACACCCGAUCGGUUGGUCACGUAAGACGCGUCCCCAUCCCAAACCUCCUUUUAUAUUUUUUUAUUAAUUUUUUUAUGUUUCUCUCUUCUUCUCCAUCAAUCAUGUAUAAGUAAUUGAACGUAUUAAAAAAAUAUAAAAUAUACGGCUGCAUGGACGGAAAAAUAGUGGUUCAAAACAGACAUAAAACGGACAUGACCGGUCUCCACGAACGUUUUAGGGACCAGAUUUGCAUGUUCCGGUUAUGGAUGCUCUUAUAACCAACCUUAUAACUAAUCUUGUUUGUAUUAGUAAAUGUAUGUGUUGAUGAUGAAUAAUAUAGCAACAUCCUAUAGUUGUUAGCUAUAUUAUUAGCCAGCUCUUAGGUGGGUGUGAUGCCAACCUGGAGAGACUCGCUCGACCAGCCGGCGUUCUUCUCUCUUCAAUCGGCAAUGCUGGACGCAUAGAUGAUAGAUCGACCGUACGUUACACACACGCGCGCGCACGUACACGUACCGAAUCGAAACAUGCAUGUGCUCUCGGGUGGAAACAGUGGCAUGGACUUUAUUUCGUAGGCGCGCCGCAUGCAUGGAUGGUUUGGCAUGCAUGCACGCAUUCAUGGAGGCCGAUCGAUCGAUGGACGGGUCGACGCAUCUUCCCGUUCCCGUGUCCUGCAUGCGCACAUGCAAAUGGCAUGCAUCGGCGCCGCCUGUAGCUACUUCCUAGUCCGAGCCCGAAUGCGUGCUUCGUCGAUCCACCUCAUUGCUUGGUUUCCCGGAGCCGCACGAGAUCUCCUGACACGCAUGCAACGACGAAGCAGAAUUAUACAGGGACGGACGUAGUCGAGCGGAGCCUCGAGUCGAAUCGAAUAUAUACAUGCGGUGAAGCGCAGUAAAAACUUGCGACGUAAGGCCCUGUUUGAUUCCAAAUAAGUCACCAACUUAUAAAUUGAAAAGUACAAAAAUUAACUUAUUUUACCAAACAAACUCAACUUAUAAGUUGCUCCAUCCCAACUUAAAACUUAUAAGUCACUCACUUUUACAUGGAAAGGUGACUUAUAAGUCAGAUGACAACCAAACAGACGUGACUUAUAAGUCAUUGGUUUUAAGUCACCUGAUUUAUAAGGCCCUGUUUGGUUUCAAAUAAGUCACCAACUUAUAAGUUAAAAAGUAUAAAAAAUAACUUAUUUUGCCAAACAGAUCCAACUUAUAAGUCAUCCCAACUUAUAAGUCAUAAGUUGCUUCGCCCCAACUUAAAACUUAUAAAUCAUCCAUUUUUGCAUGAAAAGAUGACUUAUAAGUCAGAUGACAACCAAACAGGCAUGACUUAUAAGUUAUUGGUUUUAAGUCGCCUGACUUAUAAGUUAGGUGACUUAUUAAAACCAAACAGGGCCUAAGUCACCUGACUUAUUGAAACCGAACAGGGCCUAAAAUGCUGGACGUCACGAUCGCCGGAGUCAGUAAUAUAACCCAGCAGGAAGGGUCUUGGACUACGGGCGGCCGGAGCGGCGCCUGCAUAGGCCGGAGAUGGAUCAUUGGAUGGCAGUGCCAGAGCUGGAUGGAUCCAUGCACGCGCUCGUGACAUCGAGCAUGAGCUUAGCUGGAGACGCGCUCGGGUUGCAUCCUCCUCUGUCCCGCCGCAUUGAAUUGCCCCUGCGCGUCACCGCGUGAGGUGGACGCCCACACAGGAGACGGAGACGUGGAGAGGCAGCAUUUACGAGGUUCAUGCCUCCCUCGCAGCCAUCGACGGGUCACCCAACGCGACCACGAGAUCGAGGCUCCACCACCGGCAGCCGGCAACGUGAUCCCGGGCCGGUGCUCGACCGCCUCCGCUUCAAUUCCGGAUUUCUCAUGGAUGGAGACCUGGCCUCUCGUUCCUGUUCAUCAUGGCGGUACAAGAUCGACAAUGUCAAAUCAUGACGGUCACGUCUCCAUCGGUGUACUAGCUAGUGUGUUGACGACCGGGUCGGAUCGUUUACUAGCUAGCCCUUCUCUUGGUCUGAAUGGAAUGGACUUGUGCACGUACGUUGACUCGAUCUGCUGAUGAUCCCUUCAACUUGUUAACCUGUCCGAAUUAUCAGGAGGGAGGCUGCCUGACCUUGAUGUGGGUAAGGCCGCGACGAUCGACUCGCUCAAAGUUGGCGGAAUCCUUCUUGCUUGCGUAGUUGCAUGUGCAAGCCGGCAUUGACUCGAUCGAGGACUCGCUUGGAUGGAACGAGCAAGCCAUUAAUUGUCAAGACGUGCUUUCGUCUCUCCAUGCAUGUACUGGACUAGUACGAUGGACUUGUGCCUUGGUGAAUUGAAUGGGUUCCUUGGAAGAGGUCAAGUGGCAUCCCUCUCCCAUGAUCAGCGGCAUCACCAACAUGAAUGAAUGAUCAACAUAGGUCAAUCCACCUGACCUGAUCAAAUUCAACACCUAUGUAGGAGUAUGUAUGUCAAUCCACCAGGAGGUCAAACGUGUCGUAAAUGCAUGGAGAAAGCACGGGUAGUACUACUUUACUUAACCGCCAUCAUCCCGUGGAGCACGGCAAGCAGAAACAGAGAUAUAUCGGCAUCGGUGCCAGACCCGGUCACGCACCUCAUCAGCGUCCAUGGAAACAUGCAUGCACGAAGGAACGGAAGGGACGAGUCACACGCAUCACACGAAACCAUCAAAAGGCUGCCUGCACUCCCUCUCUCUCUCUUCCAGGCCACUGGACCCGUCGCCGUCUUGAGCCACUGGAAAUUUGGAACUCGCCUCGGCCGGCGGCGACGACGACGACGAAAGUAGCACACCAUGACCACCACCUCAGCGCCGCACGAACCACGAAGGCGCUCUGCAGCAGCACCUUCUUCUCGUCUCAUCAGUCGUCUCAAGCCACCACGUAGGUACAACCUUGGGGCUGCUGCGCCAUGCCACACGCGCACACGUACUCACCACUGUCACGUUGCAUCGAUGCCCGGGAACGGGGACGCAUGCAUGGGCCCGGCUCGCAAUGAUCAAGCACCUGGCCUGCCUGCCGCCCGCUGGAGCAACGGGACAGGCGCACAUUUACAGUCAUGGGCCUGCCCACAGCCACACAGCUACGCCCGGCCAAUGCCAGGCCUUUGCUUGAUGAGUCUGCGCCUUGCUCUAAAAUCUUCCUCCCUCUCGGCACAGCAAGAGCAAAAGGCGUUGGUUAGUCUCUAGUGCGAUUUAUUAGGGGGUCAACUGCUCGCUACCUCCUCACCCAAGAUACUCCUCUUCCUAUACGCAUGAGUUGGUAGAUUUGGCUGGCUUCGUUUCCUUCCUACUCUUGUGAUACGAGUGGUAGCAUAUACACUACACUGGUACUCUCUCCGGUCCUUUUUAAUCUGUAUAUUAGCUUUGUCCUAAGUCAAAGUAUCUCUACUUUAACCAAAUUUAUAGAAACAUGUAUCAACAUUCACAAUGCCAAAUUAAUAUUGUUAGAUUCAUUACAAAAAGUAGUUUCAUGAUAUGUAUAUUUGGUAUUGUAGAUGUUGAUAUUUUUUAAUAUAUAUUUGAUCAAACUUUGUAAAGUUUGACUUGACCCAAAUCUAAUAUGCGGAGUAAAAAGGACCGGAGGGAGUAUUCUGCUGUCUUGUAGUCAGCUCAAUGAUUCAAAAACCUCGGUGGAGGGAGAGAUAGCAGUGCAAGGCCCUGCCAAAUAGUUUUGAAAUGCCCGUGGGUACGUACCACUUACCGGCGGCAAAUCGGAUUUCGACGAGGGAGUCUCAAGUCAUGAAGUUUCUAAUCACAAUUUGAAUCUACCUGGCGGGUUAUCUCAAGGCUGAUUCAUGAUUCAUCAGUUCCAAUUCAAUUUUCCCGCUCGAUUUUCAUGCCGAUGGUUAUGUAACGGGAUGGCGGGUAAACUGCCACAAGCAUUUUCACUUUCAUCAGUGGCAGUAACAAACUCAUUACUAGCUGAAGGAAGCAGCAAUCGUGUGUAGUAGCAUAACACGGUAAAAAUAUGCAAGAGGCAAAGGAGCCCAUAGAGAAAUAAACAAGCAAGCAAGCAGCUACCACUACUACUACUACUGUUACCUGUGUUACCGAGGAGCAAUGGACUUGUCAGGAUAUGUGUUGAGAAGUUAUUGCUGGCCGUUCGCUACGCUUUCUUUUUCUUUUUAUAAAUCCACAUCUUCCUCCUCCCUCGUUCGAUUAAUAAGUGCAGCAGGGCCCUAGCAUUGAAGCUUUGGUUCACAGAUUGUUCCUACAUGCAUGUCCCGUCAAACAAAACGUUCUUCUCAUGCCUCACCACGACACCACCUUUCUCAUCAUCUCAUACCGUGCCAUGCCAUCACAGCUGACUUCAGCAACAUGCACGAUUGAUGGGACUCUCCAACCGUAUAAUAAGUAUAGAUGACAACUUGUCCAUGCAUUUACCGCACGUAAAUACUUCCACAUUCCACAGAGGAAAACA